GAAUUAAUGAAAUGGGAAUUACAAGAAUCAAAGCUUAUUUCUGGUAAUAAAUGUGCACAGUAUGUUUGGAUAGUUAGAUCUGUCCAUUUCAUUAUAAUAUCAAAUAUUCAUUGCAUCUUAGAAAUAUCUGGGGUUUUGGGUAAUUCUUUUAAAAGCAUUUUUAAAUUUAAAAUACAUUACGUAGACAAGAGCAUAAAAUAUAUGUGUAGGGUUGAACAAAUGCUUGUAAAAUGAAAACCCAUGCAAUCACUCCCUGGGCCAAGACACAGCCCAUCAACAGCAUCCCAGAAGUCCCCACUACGUUCGUCACCAGUACCACAGCCUCCCUGCUCUGCAGACCAACCACUUUUCUGAGCUUCACGCUCUUGCAGGCUUCGUCACCCCUCACUUCGCGCAAGUCUCCUCACUGGGAUCCUACUAGCCUGGCUACCUCCCCCAUCCCCAACUGCCGUGAGAGCUCAUACUAACGUGCUCAUCUGUCCCCUGCUGAAACCUCCCAAAUACCACCCUCUGUUGGCCGAAUGACAAACUCCUGAACAUGCCAGGGAAGGCCACGCAUGCUCUGGCCCCUUUCCACCCCUGGGGUCCUCUCAUCCCGGGACUUCCCUCACAGAGCACCCUUCACCCUGAAGUCUCCUUGAACCACUGACAGUUCCCCAAAUGUCCCUGUUGACUUUUAUUUUUUAUAAAAUAGGCAUAUUUAUAGGGCUGCCAGGAGAAGUCAAUAAAAUAAGAUGU
rnacentral:lncRNA from 1 species